UCCGAUGUCGUCUAGAGGUUAGGAUCCUGCGCUUUCACCGCAGUGGCCGGGGUUCGAUUCCCCGCAUCGGAG
rnacentral:tRNA from 2 species